AGUGAACGCUGGCGGUAGGCCUAACACAUGCAAGUCGAACGGCAGCACAGUAAGAGCUUGCUCUUACGGGUGGCGAGUGGCGGACGGGUGAGGUAUACAUCGGAAUCUACUUUUUCGUGGGGGUUAACGUAGGGAAACUUACGCUAAUACCGCAUACGACCUACGGGUGAAAGCAGGGGAUCUUCGGACCUUGCGCGAUUGAAUGAGCCGAUGUCGGCUUAGCUAGUUGGCGGGGUAAAGGCCAACCAAGGCGAGGAUCCGUAGCUGGUCUGAGAGGAUGAUCGGCCACACUGGAACUGAGACACGGUCCAGACUCCUACGGUAGGCAGCAGAGGGGAAUAUUGGACAAUGGGCGCAAGCCUGAUCCAGCCAUACCGCGUGGGUGGAGAAGGCCUUGGGGUCGUAAAGCCCUUUUGUUGGGAAAGAAAAGCAGCAGGUUAAUACCCCGCUGUUCUGACGGUACCCAAAGAAUAAGCACCGGCUAACUUCGUG
rnacentral:rRNA from 1 species